GUCGCGUGAACGGGAAUUGGAGAGACGUGCGUAAGAAUGAUAUCACAGGACGACCCGCUGGAAAAUGAGAGGCAAACAUGAACAGACUGAAUUUGCUUUCAUUAGUAGCAACAACCGAUGGAGACAACAGCUUGCUCUGAAUUUCUCUUUUUGGGGUGACACAUACAUUUGCGAGAACUAAAAUAGAGAGUUUCAAGGGCAACCGUUACUCAGCAAGAAGUUGCUAAACACUCGCUAGCGGAUGGACCGACAAUCUUUAUUUAUUAUGCAUGUCCCCGAACACUCCGCUCACUCGUACGUUAGGCCUCGCGGGAACACAUUGACAGACCAGCGAGUAACGGACCAAAUAAUCAGGUAAAGCAAGCUUCGGGGUUUGAUUGCUUCACAUCUGAGCCGUGAUGUUAGAUCGAGAGAGACUGUAUGUGAACUCAGAGAUAAUAAAUUCAUCAUAAUAGCACUUACUGCUCAGUGGUCAAUCGUGCCAACAAAGGAGCAUGACGACGCAGCGCCGAAUGAUGUAGAGCCUACCUUUCUGCUCUUUCAGGUGACCCUUCAGCCUUGUGCAUGAAAGCCUCCUGUUGCUAGCCUUCGAGUCUCUUGCUUUCGCGCUUGCACUUCUCAUGAUCAUCUUCACUUUUCUGCGAUCCGAACGCCUCAGUGACUAUGGCUUGGCUUCACUUGCCUCUGGCUUUGUCGAGACAGAUAGGAGAUUUGUUUUCUUUUAGUAUCGAAUUGACUCUGCUCUUGACGUUCCAAAAGGGAGGGUCGUCUUCUUAUCAGGACAGCUUCGGCCCCUCUUGUCUCUCCCUCUCUCUC
rnacentral:lncRNA from 1 species